rnacentral:rRNA from 1 species
AUGCCAUUCGGACUAACAAACGCCCCCGCAUAUUUUGUUCACCUCAUGAACAAAGUAUUUAUGAAGUUUAUGGACAAGUUUGUUGUGGUAUUUGUCGAUGAUAUUUUGGUAUACUCCAAGACACCAGAAGAGCACGCUGAACAUCUCCGAAUUGUACUAGGGGAACUCAAUAAACAUCAAUUGUACGCUAAAUUCAGUAAGUGUGAAUUUUGGCUAAGGCAAGUAGGUUUUCUGGGCCACGUACUGACCCAAGAAGGUAUUGCCGUAGACCCGGAAAAAGUCAAGGCCGUACUUGGCUGGAAGCCACCAGCCAGCGUAACGGACGUACAAAGUUUCUUGGGAAUGGCAGGAUACUACCGAAGAUUUAUUGAAGGAUUCUCCACCAUAGCAAAGCCAAUGACGCAGCUACUCAAGAAAGACAAGAAGUUUGAAUGGACGGAAGCUUGCGAGAAAAGUUUCCAAGAAUUAAAAAGGAAAUUAACGACAGCACUAGUAUUAAUUGUGCCAGACAUACACAAGAAUUUUGAGGUGUAUUGUGACGCAUCCCGGAAAGGCCUCGGAUGCGUGUUGAUGCAAGAAGGCAAGGUAGUCGCAUAUGUCUCCAGACAACUCCGCAAGCAUGAGGAAAAUUAUCCCACUCAUGACCUAGAGUUAGCAGCAGUUAUUCAUGCACUCAAAGAAUGGAGACACUUUUUACUUGGAAAUCGUUGUGAGAUAUACACGGACCAUAAGAGCCUCAAGUAUGUUUUCACACAACCGGAACUGAAUUUAAGGCAACGACGCUGGUUGGAACUAGUGAAGGAUUAUGACGUUGGAAUCCACUACCACCCAGGAAAAGCAAAUGUAGUGGCAGACGCUCUAAGUCGGAACCCUAGCCCAAACGACGACGGCCUGCCAAACCUGAGACCUAAGUUUCGGCAGGAGUUUGCUAAACUCAACUUGAUGGUAGUCACCGAAGGCAGCAAAUCAAAUUUAGAAAUACAGGCUACCCUGAUGGAAACAAUUAAAGAGGCUCAGCAUGGACACCCCAGCAUUGAAGGCAUUAAACGGAAAGUGAGUUUGGGCAAGGCCCCAGAAUUCGUUAUCGAUAAGCAGGGAAUAUUGUGGUACGGAGAUAGACUUUGCGUACCAAAUAUCAAGGAUCUUAAACAGCAGAUCUUAGCUGAAGGCCACACCGCCCCGUAUUCGAUACAUCCCGGAGGGACAAAAAUGUACAAGGAUAUUCAGGAAAAAUAUUGGUGGCACGGCCUAAAAAGGGACAUAGCCAUGUUCAUCGCAUGUUGUGACUCUUGUCAACGCAUCAAAGCCGAGCACCAGAAACCGGCCGGACUUUUACAGCCAAAUAAAAUACCCGAGUGGAAAUGGGACGAGAUUGGGAUGGAUUUUAUUGUUGGGCUACCUCGGUCACGGCACGGAAAGAAUGCGAUUUGGGUCAUCACUGAUAGACUGACUAAAGUAGCACACUUCAUCCCUGUGAAGACAACCCACACCACUCAGAAGCUUGCUAGGCUUUAUCUUUCCCGUAUCGUCUGCUUACAUGGAGUCCCAAAGAAAAUAAUAUCGGACAGAGCCACUCAAUUCGUCUCCUGA